rnacentral:lncRNA from 1 species
AUGGGGAGACGUGAGCCGGUUUGCCCGAUACCCGACGUAGUUUUCUGCAACUUAAUUUUUCCUCCUGGGGCAAGGACUCACCGCUCAGGCCGUGGCGGCGGCGGGGGGGGACACACGGCGGGGGGACACCACACGGCGGCGGGGACACCACACGGCGGCGGGGACACCACACGGCGGGCGGGGAGCGGCGGCGGUGGUCGGCGUUCACCUUGCAGCUCCUGGGUCUCCUGGAAAAGGCAGAGUCCAGCCUCCCCCUUGUGAGCGACUGGAGCAAUCUGGCUAAGGAAGAAGAGGAGGAGGAGGAGGAGCUCUUUAAGAAUGUUACACAAGAGACGUCGGUAUCCCAGCUGGAUAAUUCAUAAGCUGAAAAGGUGGGGUCAUUAUAAAUAUAUGUCUGUCUGCGUCUGUGUGUGUGUGCAUUUUAAUUUUGUAAUUUUGAUUUUUAAGUCUUAAUACCAUCAGGUGGAUAAUGAGCUAAGCUGCUUCAUCUGUCGUACUAAUUUGUAUAUCUAUCAUAGCACAGAUCAUUGGCUCAGUAUAUACAGCCUCCUACUUUCCAAUUGCUUUUGUACUCUAAGGUGACCUGCAUCUCUCUCCUCUCCCUCCUCUCCUCUAAAUGCUCAGCCUAAUGAAAAUACCCACCAAAAAGCUUCUCGACCCUCCCCACUAGCGACGGGAGAUGUUGCAGUCUCUGCUAGAAGCCAAAAAGGAAAAAAUAAGGCCUCCACAACUUGCUCUCUCCCGAUCUCUCUCUCUCUCUCCCUCUCCCUCUCUCUCCCUCUGUUUCUCUCAUAGCAACAGCAUUUCUUGGUACGCCUGCUUUGGCAUACAUCAGCAUUUCUACCCGUCCAAGUGUCCUUUUGCGUCACAUCUCGCCAUCUCACUCAACCAAUGAAAUCUCCUUCUUGCAAUAAAAAUAUAUAUACAUUUUCUGUUAUUGGUAUA